UACGUAGGGUGCGAGCGUUAAUCGGAAUUACUGGGCGUAAAGCGUGCGCAGGCGGUUUUGUAAGCCAGAUGUGAAAGCCCCGGGCUUAACCUGGGAAUGGCAUUUGGGACUGCAAGGCUUGAGUGCGGCAGAGGAGACUGGAAUUCCCGGUGUAGCAGUGAAAUGCGUAGAUAUCGGGAGGAAUACCAAUGGCGAAGGCAGGUCUCUGGGCUGACACUGACGCUCAUGCACGAAAGCGUGGGGAGCAAACAGG
rnacentral:rRNA from 1 species